AUUCCAAAUGAAAAGGGAGUAGAACAGAAAUAAUAUUUUCUCAGAAUUUAUUUCGUUGUAUCCCCAGCUUGCUUAGCCUGUAGAAUUUCUUUAGGAAAUUCUCUUUGCUGGGGCCCCGAACCCCAACUUGCUUAUCUUGUAGUAUUUCUUUAGGAAAUUCUCUUUGUUAGCGCCCCGCCUACCAGGCAAGGAUGACUAGGUUUGAAAAAACGCUUGACUCAAGCGCAUUUUCAAACCAGUCAGCUACUGACAACAUGAUAAAGUAGGCUGAGACAUUUUAUUUU
rnacentral:ncRNA from 1 species